rnacentral:rRNA from 1 species
UACGUAGGGGGCGAGCGUUGUCCGGAUUUAUUGGGCGUAAAGAGCUCGUAGGCGGUUCGGUAAGUCGGAUGUGAAAUCUCCACGCUCAACGUGGAGGGGCCAUUCGAUACUGCCGUGACUCGAGUCCGGUAGGGGAGUGUGGAAUUCCAGGUGUAGCGGUGAAAUGCGUAGAUAUCUGGAGGAACACCGGUGGCGAAGGCGGCAUCCUGGACCGGUAUUGACGCUGAUGCGCGAAAGCCAGGGGAGCAAACGGG